AAAACAUGCAGCUAUCUUUAAUCCCUCGUUUUAAACACUUUCUUCUCAUUACAUUCCACAGUUUUAAAAAGUACACGACUGAAGAGACAGUCUUUACAGGAAUUAUCAAAAAAGGGGACAGUAUUCGUGCAGUAUUAUUCAGUUUUACAAACUAUUAUAGUGAGAGUGAAACUUGGAAUCUCUUGGUUAACAGUCCAGUACCAAAGCUAAAACCACUCUGCUACCUUGUGUAAAGUCCUACUUCCUCAUCUUCGGUGAGGAGCCUUUCAAAUAACCAGUUGAUCAAUACAAGGUAUAAAAUAGUGAAGAAGAAUGCAGGCUGGAAUAGUGCAUCACCAGGACCCUCAUGCAGCAUCUCCUGGAAGACCAAGAAGGUCAACAGCUCCAUCUCUGGUUCAAGGUCACUGCUCCUGAACCGAACGCGACUGAACAGCAAUUAUAGGCUCCUUCAGCAGAGAUGGAAAAUGAAAGGCAUGCGCUGCAUCGGGGGAGUGCUGUACAGUGUGUCUGCCAACAAGCUUUCAAAAAGCUGUGCCAUCCCUAUCAGAAGUGGAGUCACAAGUGCAAAAAGUGCUGUAA